rnacentral:misc_RNA from 1 species
GAUGAAGAACGUAGCGAAAUGCGAUAAGUAAUGUGAAUUGCAGAAUUCAGUGAAUCAUCGAAUCUUUGAACGCACAUUGCGCCCGUCAGUAUUCUGGCGGGCAUGCCUGUUCGAGCGUCAUUACGCCCCUCAAGUCCCCUGUGGACUUGGUGUUGGGGAUCGGCGAGGCUGGUUUUCCAGCACAGCCGUCCCUUAAAUUAAUUGGCGGUCUCGCCGUGGCCCUCCUCUGCGCAGUAGUAAAACACUCGCAACAGGAGCCCGGCGCGGUCCACUGCCGUAAAACCCCCCAACUUUUUAUAGUAGACCUCGAAUCAGGUAGGACUACCCGCUGAACUUAAGCAUAUCAAUAAGCGGAGGA